UUCAGCUCGCUGCUGAGGAAGGAGCAAAGAAGCCGAAAGGAAUUUCAGCUGCCUUGUUCUCCCCCUUUACUUCUGUGUCAUCUUUCUGCAGCAUGAGCAGUCCUGCCGUAAGUAACACGAGAAGGACACAAGAUAGGACAGGGUUCUGUGACAUCUGGGUUUCUUAGAAGCAACUUGUAGUUCCAGGAGAAAGCACCGCCACACCGGAUGGCCAUUCGUGGCCCCUGUGAGUCCAUCUGCCUUCCGUGCUCCUAGGGCACCAUGACUGGUGCAUCUAGGGAAGCAGCCAGCAACUGUCAGGAAUGCAGGCAGUACACAGCUCCUCUGAGCAUGAAGAAGUUUCAUCUCCCGGCUGAACUGCACUUCUGAAACCAAGUUGAAAGCUUCAGUUUUCAGAAUUUCAAGACAGAGGCAGCAGCACCGGGAACCAAGCAGCACAAUACAGAAUACAGUUGGUGACAGAAGACUUCAGGAGAUGUUUCCCAUCUUAAAUAUUGGGCCUGACCCACCCCUCUGCCUGAAGCAACUCCAUCAACAACAGGAGACAAAACAUAUGAAGCCCUGGAUCUCAGGACAUUAGACAUUGCCCAACAAAUCCCCUCUAAGAAGGGAAACAGAGGUUUGUACCCUGGGAGAACCUCAGAACAGUCAAGUACGACUGAUAACUAGACCAGUCAAUGAGAUGGACACCCUCUCUGCACUGGGAAUAAUACAGAUGAAGGUAACAUUACCAUAGAAAAACACAUCAUGAUCAGAAAAAGUAAAAUAUCAGGUAUGUUCAAGUAAAAAUCCAUAGAUGGAAAUAAUUUUCAACAGUUCUUUAGAGCCAGAACAUAGGGGGUGGGAGAGAAGAAAAGGAGAUUAGCAGGGCAGGAUUCGUUUUUGUGAUGAAACAAUUGUGGGACACCAGUAAUGUUCACUAUUGGAAAGAAAGCAAGGGAAUUUCCCAAAGUCCAGAUACAAGAUGAUCCAGUUUUCCCGAAAAAAAUGAAA